rnacentral:rRNA from 1 species
AUUGAACGCUGGCGGCAUGCUUUACACAUGCAAGUCGAACGGUAACAGGCCGCAAGGUGCUGACGAGUGGCGAACGGGUGAGUAAUGCAUCGGAACGUGCCCAGUCGUGGGGGAUAACUACUCGAAAGAGUAGCUAAUACCGCAUACGAUCUAUGGAUGAAAGCGGGGGACCGUAAGGCCUCGCGCGAUUGGAGCGGCCGAUGUCAGAUUAGGUAGUUGGUGGGGUAAAGGCUCACCAAGCCAACGAUCUGUAGCUGGUCUGAGAGGACGACCAUCCACACUGGGACUGAGACACGGCCCAGACUCCUACGGGAGGCAGCAGUGGGGAAUUUUGGACAAUGGGCGCAAGCCUGAUCCAGCAAUGCCGCGUGCAGGAAGAAGGCCUUCGGGUUGUAAACUGCUUUUGUACGGAACGAAACGGCUCUGGUUAAUACCCGGGGCUAAUGACGGUACCGUAAGAAUAAGCACCGGCUAACUACGUG